AGACGACGCUGGCGGCGUGCCUAAUACAUGCAAGUCGAACGCCUCUUUUUCCACCGGAGCUUGCUCCAUCGGAAAAAGAGGAGUGGCGAACGGGUGAGUAACACGUGGGUAACCUGCCCAUCAGAAGGGGAUAACACUUGGAAACAGGUGCUAAUACCGUAUAACAAUCGAAACCGCAUGGUUUCGAUUUGAAAGGCGCUUUCGGGUGUCGCUGAUGGAUGGACCCGCGGUGCAUUAGCUAGUUGGUGAGGUAACGGCUCACCAAGGCGACGAUGCAUAGCCGACCUGAGAGGGUGAUCGGCCACAUUGGGACUGAGACACGGCCCAAACUCCUACGGGAGGCAGCAGUAGGGAAUCUUCGGCAAUGGACGAAAGUCUGACCGAGCAACGCCGCGUGAGUGAAGAAGGUUUUCGGAUCGUAAAACUCUGUUGUUAGAGAAGAACAAGGAUGAGAGUAACUGUUCAUCCCUUGACGGUAUCUAACCAGAAAGCCACGGCUAACUACGUGCCAGCAGCCGCGGUAAUACGUAGGUGGCAAGCGUUGUCCGGAUUUAUUGGGCGUAAAGCGAGCGCAGGCGGUUUCUUAAGUCUGAUGUGAAAGCCCCCGGCUCAACCGGGGAGGGUCAUUGGAAACUGGGAGACUUGAGUGCAGAAGAGGAGAGUGGAAUUCCAUGUGUAGCGGUGAAAUGCGUAGAUAUAUGGAGGAACACCAGUGGCGAAGGCGGCUCUCUGGUCUGUAACUGACGCUGAGGCUCGAAAGCGUGGGGAGCAAACAGGAUUAGAUACCCUGGUAGUCCACGCCGUAAACGAUGAGUGCUAAGUGUUGGAGGGUUUCCGCCCUUCAGUGCUGCAGCUAACGCAUUAAGCACUCCGCCUGGGGAGUACGACCGCAAGGUUGAAACUCAAAGGAAUUGACGGGGGCCCGCACAAGCGGUGGAGCAUGUGGUUUAAUUUCGAAGCAACGCGAAGAACCUUUACCAGGUCUUGACAUCCUUUGACCACUCUAGAGAUAGAGCUUCCCCUUCGGGGGCAAAGUGACAGGUGGUGCAUGGUUGUCGUCAGCUCGUGUCGUGAGAUGUUGGGUUAAGUCCCGCAACGAGCGCAACCCUUAUUGUUAGUUGCCAUCAUUUAGUUGGGCACUCUAGCAAGACUGCCGGUGACAAACCGGAGGAAGGUGGGGAUGACGUCAAAUCAUCAUGCCCCUUAUGACCUGGGCUACACACGUGCUACAAUGGGAAGUACAACGAGUCGCAAAGUCGCGAGGCUAAGCUAAUCUCUUAAAGCUUCUCUCAGUUCGGAUUGUAGGCUGCAACUCGCCUACAUGAAGCCGGAAUCGCUAGUAAUCGCGGAUCAGCACGCCGCGGUGAAUACGUUCCCGGGCCUUGUACACACCGCCCGUCACACCACGAGAGUUUGUAACACCCGAAGUCGGUGAGGUAACCUUUUGGAGCCAGCCGCCUAAGGUGGGAUAGAUGAUGGGGGAAG
rnacentral:rRNA from 1 species